UAGCUUGCUAAGACUGAUGGCGACGGCGCACGGGUGAGUAACACGUAUCCAACCUGCCGUCUACUCUUGGACAGCCUUCUGAAAGGAAGAUUAAUACAAGAUGGCAUCAUGAGUCCACAUGUUCACAUGAUUAAAGGUAUUCCGGUAGACGAUGGGGAUGCGUUCCAUUAGAUAGUAGGCGGGGUAACGGCCCACCUAGUCUUCGAUGGAUAGGGGUUCUGAGAGGAAGGUCCCCCACAUUGGAACUGAGACACGGUCCAAACUCCUACGGGAGGCAGCAGUGAGGAAUAUUGGUCAAUGGGCGAGAGCCUGAACCAGCCAAGUAGCGUGAAGGAUGACUGCCCUAUGGGUUGUAAACUUCUUUUAUAAAGGAAUAAAGUCGGGUAUGCAUACCCGUUUGCAUGUACUUUAUGAAUAAGGAUCGGCUAACUCCGUGCCAGCAGCCGCGGUAAUACGGAGGAUCCGAGCGUUAUCCGGAUUUAUUGGGUUUAAAGGGAGCGUAGAUGGAUGUUUAAGUCAGUUGUGAAAGUUUGCGGCUCAACCGUAAAAUUGCAGUUGAUCCUGGAUAUCUUGAGUGCAGUUGAGG
rnacentral:rRNA from 1 species